ACGAACGCUGGCGGCGUGCUUAACACAUGCCAGUCGAACGGAAAGGCCCUGCUUUUGUGGGGUGCUCGAGUGGCGAACGGGUGAGUAACACGUGAGUAACCUGCCCUUGACUUUGGGAUAACUUCAGGAAACUGGGGCUAAUAUCGGAUAGGAGCUCCUGCUGCAUGGUGGGGGUUGGAAAGUUUCGGCGGUUGGGGAUGGACUCGCGGCUUAUCAGCUUGUUGGUGGGGUAGUGGCUUACCAAGGCUUUGACGGGUAGCCGGCCUGAGAGGGUGACCGGCCACAUUGGGACUGAGAUACGGCCCAGACUCCUACGGGAGGCAGCAGUGGGGAAUACUGCACAAUGGGCGGAAGCCUGAUGCAGCAACGCCGCGUGCGGGAUGACGGCCUCCGGGUUGUAAACCGCUUUCGCCUGUGACGAAGCGUGAGUGACGGUAAUGGGUAAAGAAGCACCGGCUAACUACGUG
rnacentral:rRNA from 1 species